UACGUAGGAGGCAAGCGUUGUCCGGAAUCAUUGGGCGUAAAGAGCUCGUAGGCGGCUUGUCGCGUCGUCCGUGAAAACCUGCGGCUCAACUGCAGGCUGGCGGUCGAUACGGGCAGGCUGGAGUUCGGUAGGGGAGACUGGAAUUCCUGGUGUAGCGGUGAAAUGCGCAGAUAUCAGGAGGAACACCGGUGGCGAAGGCGGGUCUCUGGGCCGAUACUGACGCUGAGGAGCGAAAGCGUGGGGAGCGAACAGG
rnacentral:rRNA from 1 species